AUGGACGCCAACUGGGGCGUCGGCGUCGGCGUUGACCUGAACGCCCCACCGCCCACCGGAGGCGACGACUGGCGCGCCCAGCUCCUGCCCGAGGCGCGCAGCAGGGUCGUCAACAAGAUAAUGGAAUGUCUGAAGAAGCAUCUGCCAGUAUCAGUGCCAGAGGGACUGAACGAACUUCAAAUCAUCGCUGUGCGGUUCGAAGACAAGAUCUAUGCUGCAGCGACCAGCCAGUCUGAUUAUUUGCGCAAGAUCUCUCUGAAAAUGCUAUCUAUGGAGACGAAGACACAACCUGGGAAUGCUCAAGUGAUUCCAAAUCAAAUGAACCUCGGUCAAGCAUCAUGUUUAAGAAUGCCCGAUGGAACCCCCUGGCGGCCCACCCAGGGGCCAGACCCCGCUGCAGUUGCCGCAGCCGUCGCCGCCGGCGGCGGCGUUGACCCGAACGCCUCGGCCCCCACCGGAGGCGAUUGGCGCCCCCAGCUUCAGCCCGAGGCGCGCGGCAGGAUCGUCAAUAACAUAAUGGAAUCUCUGAAGAAGCAUCUGCCAGUAUCAAGGCCAGAGGGACUGAACGAACUUGAAAAAAUUGCUGUGCGAUUUGAAGAGAAGAUCUAUAAUGCAGCGACCAGCCAGUCUGAUUAUUUGCGGAAGGUUUCUCUGAAAAUGCUAUCUAUGGAGACGAAAACAUAA
rnacentral:rRNA from 1 species